UGCAGACUCUGUGAAAAUAUACUUUUUACUCACUUAUCUGUCAACAAUGAGGAAAUAUAUUUUUUCCUGGAUUGACUUUCUUUCUUUUAUUUCUCACUAUUCAGUAUCUGGACUAUACAGUUCUCCUGGGCAAUUUAUCUGCCCUAUUCCCGGCAGUUAUUAUUGCAACUAGAAUCAGUAUAGUAUUGACAGAAAUCUCUUGGGAUGAAUUAUAUCCAUCUCUUCUGAGACUACCUCAUCAUCAAUCUUCCCAUUUUUUCUAUCAUCAUUUUAAUCAGUACCUGCUUGCCUCCGGCUCCUCUUCCUCUAUAGGCUUGCAUCCAGGCUCUGUGCAUUGCACGGCGAUCCUACCCGCAUGCUUAAGAGGAUCAUUUCCUCUUUUUCCCAUCCCUCCUUCCAUCUAUCUGGGAUUUUCCAUCUGGGACUUUGAGCCAAUCACGGCCAAUCAUUCAGGUUUUUUUAGUCCAUUUUCACAGGUAAAUAUAUUCUUUACAAUUAUUAUUUAUUUUUUUCGUUAAAGUCCACAGCUACCACAGAU